rnacentral:rRNA from 1 species
ACCCGCACAAGCGGUGGAUGAUGUGGUUUAAUUCGAUGCAACGCGAAAAACCUUACCUACCCUUGACAUGUCAAGAAUUUUGCAGAGAUGUGAAAGUGCUCGAAAGAGAACUUGAACACAGGUGCUGCAUGGCCGUCGUCAGCUCGUGUCGUGAGAUGUUGGGUUAAGUCCCGCAACGAGCGCAACCCUUGUCAUUAGUUGCUACCGCAAGGAGCACUCUAAUGAGACUGCCGGUGACAAACCGGAGGAAGGUGGGGAUGACGUCAGGUCCUCAUGGCCCUUAUGGGUAGGGCUACACACGUCAUACAAUGGCCGGUACAGAGGGCUGCCAACCCGCGAGGGGGAGCCAAUCCCAGAAAACCGGUCGUAGUCCGGAUCGUAGUCUGCAACUCGACUGCGUGAAGUCGGAAUCGCUAGUAAUCGCGGAUCAGCUUGCCGCGGUGAAUACGUUCCCGGGUCUU